UGGGGAAUGAUUGCACAAUGGGCGCAAGCCUGAUGCAGCCAUGCCGCGUGUGUGAAGAAGGCCUUCGGGUUGUAAAGCAACUUUCAGCGAGGAGGAAGGUGGUGAGCUUAAUACGCUCAUCAAUUGACGUUACUCGCAGAAGAAGCACCGGCUAACUCCGUGCCAGCAGCCGCGGUAAUACGGAGGGUGCAAGCGUUAAUCGGAAUUACUGGGCGUAAAGCGCACGCAGGCGGUUUGUUAAGUCAGAUGUGAAAUUCCCGGGCUCAACCUGGGAACUGCAUUUGAAACUGGCAAGCUAGAGUCNCGUAGAGGGGGGUGAGAAUUCCAGGUGUAGCGGUGAAAUGCGUAGAGAUCUGGAGGAAUACCGGUGGCGAAGGCGGCCCCCUGGACGAAGACUGACGCUCAGGU
rnacentral:rRNA from 1 species